rnacentral:rRNA from 1 species
GAUGAACGCUGGCGGCGUGCCUAAUACAUGCAAGUCGAGCGAACAGACGAGGAGCUUGCUCCUCUGACGUUAGCGGCGGACGGGUGAGUAACACGUGGAUAACCUACCUAUAAGACUGGGAUAACUUCGGGAAACCGGAGCUAAUACCGGAUAAUAUAUUGAACCGCAUGGUUCAAUAGUGAAAGACGGUUUUGCUGUCACUUAUAGAUGGAUCCGCGCCGCAUUAGCUAGUUGGUAAGGUAACGGCUUACCAAGGCAACGAUGCGUAGCCGACCUGAGAGGGUGAUCGGCCACACUGGAACUUAUACACGGUCCAGACUCCUACGGGAGGCAGCAGUAGGGAAUCUUCCGCAAUGGGCGAAAGCCUGACGGAGCAACGCCGCGUGAGUGAUGAAGGUCUUCGGAUCGUAAAACUCUGUUAUUAGGGAAGAACAAAUGUGUAAGUAACUAUGCACGUCUUGACGGUACCUAAUCAGAAAGCCACGGCUAACUACGUG